rnacentral:tRNA from 1 species
UGGGUUGUAGCUCAGUGGUAGAGCACUUGCCUAGCAUGUAUGAGGCACUGGGUUUGAUUCUCAGCACCACAU